rnacentral:rRNA from 1 species
UAGUCAUAUGCUUGUCUCAAAGAUUAAGCCAUGCAUGUCUCAGUGUAAACUUUUAAACAGUGAAACUGCGAAUGGCUCAUUAAAACAGUUAUAGUUUAUUUGAUACUCAACUUUACAUGGAUAACCGUGGGAAUUCUAGGGCUAAUACAUGCGUAAACCCGCAAGGGAUGUGUUUAUUAGAUUACAACCAUCGCAGUAGCAAUACUGUCACAUUGGAAUAAUAAUAACCGAUCGAAUCGCACGCUUUAUGUGGCGAUAAAUCAUUCAAGUUUCUGAC